ACGAAUCCUUUGGGAUCUAUGUCUGGCCAUACUCAAUAAGUUUGUAAUAAUUUACUUAGCUCAUCUGCAUAAAGGAGAGGAAAUUUUAAUAAUGCUGACGUCUUUAGGCACUGACUUCGACAUAUACAUUACUUAGCAUUUUAAUCGAGGAGGUUCGCCCCGGAUAAGCUGUUUCAGUUAAUGGUAGAAGGAAAAAAACCUCUAUCCAAGAAACAUCAUAACUGCAUCAGCUUGAAUCAACUGUUAAAGGCUCAACGAAAUAUGAUGUAAAGAAAACAGUCUUCACAGAGCUGGGUACAAUAACAAAGAUGCCGUUUACAUACAACCUGCUGUUGCUAAAGUAACGACAGGACGGAAAGUUGGUUGAAAUUUAUAAUGAUAAGAAUAUCGUUAUGACAAAGAUGUGGCAGCAACUUAUAGUUCUGAUCACCGCUUUUUUCGUGGUUAUUCAUCAUGGCAUUCAAGCUGAGAUACAAAUUGCCGCACCAAGCAAUGUGACGGUUUACAACAGAACAGGCGAUAGCUUGUUCGUCCAAUGGAGUAAGGUAAAAGGAGAGAUCCUUGGUUACAGAGUGCGUCAUCAGCGAAAUGAUACUCCUGUCGCCCUUGG